rnacentral:rRNA from 1 species
UACGUAGGGUGCAAGCGUUGUCCGGAAUUAUUGGGCGUAAAGAGCUCGUAGGCGGUCUGUCGCGUCGGCUGUGAAAACCCAGGGCUCAACCCUGGGCCUGCAGUCGAUACGGGCAGACUAGAGUUCGGCAGGGGAGACUGGAAUUCCUGGUGUAGCGGUGAAAUGCGCAGAUAUCAGGAGGAACACCGGUGGCGAAGGCGCCACUCUGGGCCGGUACUGACGCUGAGGAGCGAAAGCGUGGGUAGCAAACAGG